CGGGGCGUAGCGCAGCUUGGUAGCGCGCACGGUUCGGGACCGUGAGGUCGGAGGUUCGAAUCCUCUCGCCCCGACUA
rnacentral:tRNA from 1 species